rnacentral:rRNA from 1 species
CUGGCGGCAUGGCUAAAACAUGCAAGUCGAACGCGAAAGUACCUUCGGGUGCGAGUAGAGUGGCGAACGGGCGAGUAAUGCGUUCCUAACGUGCCUCGAGGUCAGGGAUAGCCCAGGGAAACUUGGAUUAAUACCUGAUGACCCCGGCAGAUCGUAUGAUCCGCCGGGCAAAGGUCCGCCGCCUUGAGAUCGGGGAACGUCCUAUCAGCUGGUUGGUGAGGUAACGGCUCACCAAGGCCAAGACGGGUAGCGGGUGUGAGAGCACGGCCCGCCGCAUCGGGACUGAGACACUGCCCGGACUCCUACGGGAGGCUGCAGUAACGAAUAUUCCGCAAUGCGCGAAAGCGUGACGGAGCAAUGCCGCGUGCAGGAUGAAGUCCUUCGGGGUGUAAACUGCUGUCAGGGGCUAGGAAUUUUGACCAGCCCCAGAGGAAGGACCGGCUAACUUCGUGCCAGCAGCCGCGGUAAUACGAAGGGUCCAAGCGUUAAUCGGAAUCACUGGGCUUAAAGCGUGCGCAGGCGGACCCGCAAGUGCUUUGUGAAAUACCAUGGCUCAACCAUGGAAUUGCUUGGCAGACUGCGGGUCUUGAGGUCGGUAAGGGCUGUCGGAACAGUAGGUGGAGCGGUGAAAUGCGUAGAUAUCUACUGGAACGCCAAAGGUGAAGACAGGCAGCUGGGCCGAACCUGACGCUCAGGCACGAAAGCGUGGGGAGCGAACGGGAUUAGAUACCCCGGUAGUCCACGCUGUAAACGAUGUGUACUAGGUCGUGGGGGUUCUGACACCAACACGGCCGAAGCAAAAGUAUUAAGUACACCGCCUGGGGAGUACGGUCGCAAGGCUAAAACUCAAAGGAAUUGACGGGGGCUCACACAAGCGGUGGAGCAUGUGGCUUAAUUCGAAGCAACGCGAAGAACCUUAUCCAGGGUUUGACAUGCACGGAUUAGCUCCCUGAAAGGGGAGUGACGCGGUUUCCGUGGAACGUGCACAGGUGCUGCAUGGCUGUCGUCAGCUCGUGCUGUGAAGUGUCGGGUUAAGUCCCUUAACGAGCGAAACCCCUGCCGUUAGUUGCUAACGCGUUAUGGCGAGGACUCUAACGGGACUGCCGGUGUCAAACCGGAGGAAGGUGGGGAUGACGUCAAGUCCGCAUGGCCUUUAUAUCCAGGGCUACACACACGCUACAAUGGCCAGUACAAUAGGUAGCCAAGUCGUGAGACGGAGCCAAUCCUUAAAGCUGGUCUCAGUUCGAAUUGCAGUCUGCAACUCGACUGCAUGAAGCUGGAGUUGCUAGUAAUCGCAGGUCAGCCAUACUGCGGUGAUACGUUCCCGGGCCUUGUACACACCGCCCGUCACGUCAUGGAAGCUGGCAACGCCUGAAGCCGGUGAGCUAACCCGAAAGGGGGCAGCCGUCGAGGGUGG